UACGUAGGGUGCGAGCGUUGUCCGGAAUUACUGGGCGUAAAGAGCUCGUAGGUGGUUUGUCGCGUUGUUCGUGAAAACCCGGGGCUCAACUCCGGGCCUGCAUCCGAUACUGCGUGGCUAGAGGUAGGUAGGGGAGAUCGGAAUUCCUGGUGUAGCGGUGAAAUGCGCAGAUAUCAGGAGGAACACCGGUGGCGAAGGCGGAUCUCUGGGCCUUACCUGACGCUCAGGCACGAAAGCUAGGGGAGCGAACAGG
rnacentral:rRNA from 1 species